rnacentral:rRNA from 1 species
UCGAGAAUUUUGGGCAAUGGGCGAAAGCCUGACCCAGCAACGCCGCGUGAGGGAUGAAGUAUUUCGGUAUGUAAACCUCGAAAGAAUGGGAAGAAUAAAUGACGGUACCAUUUAUAAGCUCCGGCUAACUACGUGCCAGCAGCCGCGGUAAUACGUAGGGAGCAAGCGUUGUUCGGAUUUACUGGGCGUAAAGGGCGCGUAGGCGGCGCGGUAAGUCACUUGUGAAAUCUCUGAGCUUAACUCAGAACGGCCAAGUGAUACUGCUGUGCUAGAGUGCGGAAGAGGCAACCGGAAUUCUUGGUGUAGCGGUGAAAUGCGUAGAUAUCAAGAGGAACACCUGAGGCGAAGGCGGGUUGCUGAGCCGACACUGACGCUGAUGCGCGAAAGCCAGGGGAGCAAACG